rnacentral:rRNA from 1 species
CCUACGGGAGGCAGCAGUAGGGAAUAUUGCUCAAUGGGGGAAACCCUGAAGCAGCAACGCCGCGUGGAGGAUGAAGGUUUUCGGAUUGUAAACUCCCUUUUUUAGAGAAGAUAAUGACGGUAUCUAACGAAUAAGCACCAGCUAACUCCGUGCCAGCGGCCGCGGUAAUACGGAGGGUGCAAGCGUUACUCGGAGUCACUGGGCGUAAAGCGCGCGUAGGCGGGAUAGCAAGUCAGAUGUGAAAUCCUAUGGCUUAACCAUAGAACUGCAGUUGAAACUGUUAUUCUAGAGUAUGGGAGGGGUAGGUGGAAUUCUUGGUGUAGGGGUAAAAUGCGUAGAGAUCAAGAGGAAUACUCAUUGCGAAGGCGAGCGGCUAGAACAUAACUGACGCUGAUGCGCGAAAGCGUGGGGAGCAAACAGGAUUAGAUACCCUGGUAGUC